rnacentral:misc_RNA from 1 species
GAUGAAGAACGUAGCGAAAUGCGAUAAGUAAUGUGAAUUGCAGAAUUCAGUGAAUCAUCGAAUCUUUGAACGCACCUUGCGCCUUUUGGUAUUCCGAGGAGCAUGCCUGUUUGAGUGUCAUUAAUAUAUCAACCUCUUCAGCUUAUGCUUGUUGAGUGUUGGAUGGUGGGGGUUUGCUGGUGUCUUAUGAAGUCAGCUCCUCUGAAAUGCAUUAGCGGAACAAUUUGUUGACCGUUCAUUGGUGUGAUAAAAAUAUCUACGCUAUUGACGUCAGUCAGUUCAGCUUCUAACAGUCCAUUGACUUGGACAAAUUUUUCAUUAAUGUGACCUCAAAUCAGGUAGGACUACCCGCUGAACUUAAGCAUAUCAAUAAGCGGAGGA